UUAUAAUCACGUUCCUUUGUCUCUGCCAGAAAAAAUAACUGACUACAGUGCAAAUCUCAACAGCUGUGCAUCAGAGGAUGAGCUGGAGAUAAAGAGAAUAGUGAACGAGCUUGAGAACCAGCUGCAGACAACGAAGUUGGAAAGGCCAUCGAUACUAGAUCAGCACAUCCCCAAACAGCUGCAAAUGAGCAAAUUUUCACCUUUACGUCUGGGUGAUGAGUCAGAGAGUGAGGGCCUCACUUUGGAUGCUAAAUGCUCUGUACCGACGAUAGAUGUACCUGUUUCGAUGCCUUCAGAGCCUUUCACUGAACAGGGACUCUCAUGGCACGGCACAUUCCAAUUUGAGCUAAUGGGUGAACAUCACAGUCCCCACAUUGCAAUUCACAAUGAAUCAGGGGCUCUUGAAAUAUUUUCAGACAAAGAAGGCCAUGCACCAAAUUUAAUCUCUGCAGCCUCACAUAUUGAACACCCACAGCUCCACCUUGAUCAUAAAACUGAAGAAAGAAGUGCUGAAGAAGACACUCCUAUGGAAACAAAGGAAGAGAUUUUGGAGCAGAAGAGAUAUACAGAAAAUCUCAUGAAAAGUCUGGAGGUGAUUUCACACUCUAUAUUCAAGAAAGAGCCCCUUAUAUCAGUAGACAAAACGCCAAAUGUCAACUCUCCCAAAAGUCAAGAACAUCUAGAAACUGAAUGUCAGGCAACAGAUGCAGUUGAAAGAGAAGAUCAUGAGGAAAAGGAAGCAAUUAUGAAAAAAGAGAAUAUAUUAUCACCUCCAAAUAUCAAUGAGAGGAAGGAUGAAAUUGAAUUCAUUCUGAAUGAGUCAGAGUCGUCUCUCUCCAGCAAGGCUGACCCCAGAGUCAAUGGCAGCCAGCCAAAUUCAUCGCAGCCAAGUGAGCCCACAGAAAACAAGGAUUACAAGGCACAGAGUAAAGUCGCAUCAAAGCAGGAUAUCUCCAAGAGUAGCACUUUAACCGAGACUGCUCACUGCUCAAGUGUGGUGACACAUGAGCCACGUGUGGAUGAGGAAUCUUGCGGGAACGGUAAUGCAGAGGACAAUGUAGAUCAGCUGUUUAAAAACAGUAGUGUUGGCCGAGAGUAUUCACCCACGGGUGAGGAAGCAGAGGCGGUGAAGGGAAUUACGGGUCACUCUGGUGUUCAUCUGUUAUCACCAGCUCAGGCUGAGCCCAGUCCAGAUAUUAGUGAGAAAAUGGCAGAUGUGACGAAGGCAGCAGCGGAGCAACAAUCAGCUGGUAGCCAUGGUAAUCGUGAAGACAACAGUUCAUCGCAUGCUGAUGAAUUAAAA
rnacentral:lncRNA from 1 species